AGGUAGGUAGACAGGCCAUAACGUCUCGUUUCUUUAGUUCAGUGUUCAUAGCCUGUAGGUAGACAGGCCAUAAGGUCUAGUUUCUUUAGUUCAGUGUUCAUAGCCUGUAGGUAGACAGGCCAUAACGUCUCGUUUCUUUAGUUCAGUGUUCAUAGCCUGUAGGUAGACAGGCCAUAAGGUCUCGUUUCUUUAGUUCAGUGUUCAUAGCCUGUAGGUAGACAGGCCAUAAGGUCUCGUUUCUUUAGUUCAGUGUUCAUAGCCUGUAGGUAGACAGGCCAUAAGGUCUCGUUUCUUUAGUUCAGUGUUCAUAGCCUGUAGGUAGACAGGCCAUAAGGUCUUGUUUCUUUAGUUCAGUGUUCAUAGCCUGUAGGUAGACAGGCCAUAAGGUCUUGUUUCUUUAGUUCAGUGUUCAUAGCCUGUAGGUAGACAGGCCAUAAGGUCUUGUUUCUUUAGUUCAGUGUUCAUAGCCUGUAGGUAGACAGGCCAUAAGGUCUUGUUUCUUUAGUUCAGUGUUCAUAGCCUGUAGGUAGACAGGCCAUAAGGUCUCGUUUCUUUAGUUCAGUGUUCAUAGCCUGUAGGUAGACAGGCCAUAAGGUCUCGUUUCUUUAGUUCAGUGUUCAUAGCCUGUAGGUAGACAGGCCAUAACGUCUUGUUUCUUUAGUUCAGUGUUCAUAGCCUGUAGGUAGACAGGCCAUAAGGUCUUGUUUCUUUAGUUCAGUGUUCAUAGCCUGUAGGUAGACAGGCCAUAAGGUCUUGUUUCUUUAGUUCAGUGUUCAUAGCCUGUAGGUAGACAGGCCAUAAGGUCUUGUUUCUUUAGUUCAGUGUUCAUAGCCUGUAGGUAGACAGGCCAUAACGUCUCGUUUCUUUAGUUCAGUGUUCAUAGCCUGUAGGUAGACAGGCCAUAAGGUCUCGUUUCUUUAGUUCAGUGUUCAUAGCCUGUAGGUAGACAGGCCAUAACGUCUCGUUUCUUUAGUUCAGUGUUCAUAGCCUGUAGGUAGACAGGCCAUAACGUCUCGUUUCUUUAGUUCAGUGUUCAUAGCCUGUAGGUAGACAGGCCAUAAGGUCUCGUUUCUUUAGUUCAGUGUUCAUAGCCUGUAGGUAGACAGGCCAUAAGGUCUCGUUUCUUUAGUUCAGUGUUCAUAGCCUGUAGGGAGGGAAGGAGAUGUGUAGAAGUAGGAAGGGAGAGGGAGAGAUAUGGAAGGGAGGGAGGGAUAUGGAAGGGAGAGAUGGAAAGGAGAUAGGGAGAGAGAAAGAUAUGGAGAGGGAGGGAGAGGUAUGGAAGGGAGAGAGAGAUAUGGAAGGGAGAGAGAGACAUAUGGAAGGGAGAGAGAGACAUAUGGAAGGGAGAGAGAGAUAUGGAAGGGAUAGGUAGUGAGGUAGGCUGCUCUUCACUGGGCGGCAGUGGGCGUGGCUGUAGAAUGGGUUGCCAGGGAAACGGUGGAGGUGGAGGAAGUGAUGGCUCGCGGGGUCUGACA